rnacentral:rRNA from 1 species
GGGAAUCUACCGUGCCCUGCGGAAUAGCUCCGGGAAACUGGAAUUAAUACCGCAUACGCCCUACGGGGGAAAGAUUUAUCGGGGUAUGAUGAGCCCGCGUUGGAUUAGCUAGUUGGUGGGGUAAAGGCCUACCAAGGCGACGAUCCAUAGCUGGUCUGAGAGGAUGAUCAGCCACAUUGGGACUGAGACACGGCCCAAACUCCUACGGGAGGCAGCAGUGGGGAAUAUUGGACAAUGGGCGCAAGCCUGAUCCAGCCAUGCCGCGUGAGUGAUGAAGGCCCUAGGGUUGUAAAGCUCUUUCAGUGGGGACGAUAAUGACGGUACCCACAGAAGAAGCCCCGGCUAACUUCGUGCCAGCAGCCGCGGUAAUACGAAGGGGGCUAGCGUUGUUCGGAAUUACUGGGCGUAAAGCGCACGUAGGCGGAUAUUUAAGUCAGGGGUGAAAUCCCGGGGCUCAACCCCGGAACUGCCUUUGAUACUGGAUGUCUUGAGUCCGGAAGAGGUGAGUGGAAUUGCGAGU